rnacentral:rRNA from 1 species
AGUGAACGCUGGCGGUAGGCCUAACACAUGCAAGUCGAACGGCAGCACAGUAAGAGCUUGCUCUUACGGGUGGCGAGUGGCGGACGGGUGAGGAAUACAUCGGAAUCUACUUUUUCGUGGGGGAUAACGUAAGGAAACUUACGCUAAUACCGCAUACGACCUACGGGCGAAAGCAGGGGAUCUUCGGACCUUGCGCGAUUGAAUGAGCCGAUGUCGGAUUAGCUAGUUGGCGGGGGAAAGGCCCACCAAGGCGACGAUCCGUAGCUGGUCUGAGAGGAUGAUCAGCCACACUGGAACUGAGCCACGGUCCAGACUCCUACGGGAGGCAGCAGUGGGGAAUAUUGGACAAUGGGCGCAAGCCUGAUCCAGCCAUACCGCGUGGGUGAAGAAGGCCUUCGGGUUGUAAAGCCCUUUUGUUGGGAAAGAAAAGCAGCAGGUUAAUACCCCGCUGUUCUGACGGUACCCAAAGAAUAAGCACCGGCUAACUUCGUG